AGAGUUUGAUCCUGGCUCAGGAUGAACGCUGGCGGCGCGCCUAACACAUGCAAGUCGAACGGCACCCCUCUCCGGAGGGAAGCGAGUGGCGAACGGCUGAGUAACACGUGGAGAACCUGCCCCCUCCCCCGGGAUAGCCGCCCGAAAGGACGGGUAAUACCGGAUACCCCGGGGUGCCGCAUGGCACCCCGGCUAAAGCCCCGACGGGAGGGGAUGGCUCCGCGGCCCAUCAGGUAGACGGCGGGGUGACGGCCCACCGUGCCGACAACGGGUAGCCGGGUUGAGAGACCGACCGGCCAGAUUGGGACUGAGACACGGCCCAGACUCCUACGGGAGGCAGCAGUGGGGAAUCUUGCGCAAUGGGGGGAACCCUGACGCAGCGACGCCGCGUGCGGGACGGAGGCCUUCGGGUCGUAAACCGCUUUCAGCAGGGAAGAGUCAAGACUGUACCUGCAGAAGAAGCCCCGGCUAACUACGUGCCAGCAGCCGCGGUAAUACGUAGGGGGCGAGCGUUAUCCGGAUUCAUUGGGCGUAAAGCGCGCGUAGGCGGCCCGGCAGGCCGGGGGUCGAAGCGGGGGGCUCAACCCCCCGAAGCCCCCGGAACCUCCGCGGCUUGGGUCCGGUAGGGGAGGGUGGAACACCCGGUGUAGCGGUGGAAUGCGCAGAUAUCGGGUGGAACACCGGUGGCGAAGGCGGCCCUCUGGGCCGAGACCGACGCUGAGGCGCGAAAGCUGGGGGAGCGAACAGGAUUAGAUACCCUGGUAGUCCCAGCCGUAAACGAUGGACGCUAGGUGUGGGGGGGAUAUCCCCCCGUGCCGCAGCCAACGCAAUGAGUGUCCCGCGUGGGGAGUGCGGCCGCGAGUCUAAAUCUCAGAGGAAUAGGCGGGGGCCCGCACGCGCAGGGGCGCAUGUGGUUUUAUUAGGAGCCACGAGGAGCACCUUCACAGGGCUUGACAUAUGGGAGGAGGGGGGGAGACCCCGUGGGAGAGGGGAGCCCACACAGGUGGCGCAUGGGUGUUGUCAGCUUGUGUCGUGAGAUGGUGGGAAGAGUCGCGCAGAGAGCGCCACCCCCGCCGCGUGUCGCCAUCGGGAGACCGCGGGCACCCGCGGGGGACCGCCGCGUGUCAAGGGGGAGGAGGGGGGGGAGGAGGUCAAGUCUUCAUCCCCCUAAUCCCUUGGGUGCCCGAGGUGUUCCAAUGGCCGGUACAGAGGGAAGCCACCCCGCGAGGGGGAGCGGAUCCCGGAAAGCCGGCCCCAGUUCGGAUUGCGGGCUGCAACCCGCCCCCAUGAAGUCGGAGUUGCUAGUAAUCGCGGAUCAGCAUGCCGCGGUGAAUGCGUUCCCGGGCCUUGCACUCACCGCCCGUCAAG
rnacentral:rRNA from 1 species